GUGUCAAGGCCCGGGAACGUAUUCACCGCGCCGUGGCUGAUGCGCGAUUACUAGCGAAUCCAGCUUCAUGGAGUCGGGUUGCAGACUCCAAUCCGAACUGAGAGAGGCUUUCGGGAUUAGCAUCACGUCGCCGUGUAGCUGCCUUCUGUACCCCCCAUUGUAACACGUGUGUAGCCCCGGACGUAAGGGCCGUGCUGAUUUGACGUCAUCCCCACCUUCCUCACAUCUUACGACGGCAGUCUCGACAGAGUCCCCAGCAUAACCUGAUGGUAACUAUCGAUAAGGGUUGCGCUCGUUAUGGCACUUAAGCCGACACCUCACGGCACGAGCUGACGACAACCAUGCAGCACCUUCACAACUGCCUUGCGGCUGACAUGUCUCCACAUCAUUCAGUUGCAAUUCAAGCCCGGGUAAGGUUCCUCGCGUAUCAUCGAAUUAAACCACAUGUUCCUCCGCUUGUGCGGGCCCCCGUCAAUUCCUUUGAGUUUCACCGUUGCCGGCGUACUCCCC
rnacentral:rRNA from 1 species